AGAGAUAAAGUAUCAUUACAUUUGGUUUCGGCCCAAAAGUAAGCUUCUUCGCUUGUCUCUA
rnacentral:tRNA from 1 species